UGAAAGCCUGACGGAGCAAGACCGCGUGAGGGAGGAAGGCUCUUGGGUUGUAAACCUCUUUUCUCAGGGAAGAAGCUCUGACGGUACCUGAGGAAUCAGCCUCGGCUAACUCCGUGCCAGCAGCCGCGGUAAUACGGAGGAGGCAAGCGUUAUCCGGAAUUAUUGGGCGUAAAGCGUCCGCAGGUGGCAAUGUAAGUCUGCUGUCAAAACCCAGGGCUCAACUCUGGUCAGGCAGUGGAAACUACAUAGCUAGAGUUCGGUAGGGGCAAAGGGAAUUCCCGGUGUAGCGGUGAAAUGCGUAGAGAUCGGGAAGAACAUCGGUGGCGAAAGCGCUUUGCUGGGCCGCAACUGACACUCAGGGACGAAAGCUAGGGGAGCG
rnacentral:rRNA from 1 species